rnacentral:rRNA from 1 species
UGCCAGCCGCCGCGGUAAUACGAACCGUCCAAACGUUAUUCGGAAUCACUGGGCUUAAAGCGUGCGUAGGCGGCUUAGCAAGUUGGGUGUGAAAUCCCUCAGCUCAACCGAGGAACUGCGCUCAAAACUGCUAGGCUAGAGGGAGAUAGGGGUGAGCGGAACUAAUGGUGGAGCGGUGAAAUGCGUUGAUAUCAUUAGGAACACCGGUGGCGUAAGCGGCUCACUGGGUCUCUUCUGACGCUGAGGUACGAAAGGUAGGGGAGCGAACGGGAUUAGAUA